UACGGAGGGGGGCUAGCGUUGUUCGGAAUUACUGGGCGUAAAGCGCACGUAGGCGGCUUUGUAAGUUAGAGGUGAAAGCCCGGGGCUCAACCCCGGAAUUGCCUUUAAGACUGCAUCGCUUGAAUCCAGGAGAGGUGAGUGGAAUUCCGAGUGUAGAGGUGAAAUUCGUAGAUAUUCGGAAGAACACCAGUGGCGAAGGCGGCUCACUGGCCUGGUAUUGACGCGUGAGGUGCGAAAGCGUCGGGGAGCAAACAGG
rnacentral:rRNA from 1 species